CACCUCUGGAAACCUAUUCAGAGAAAGAGACCUCUCAGCUGGACUUCAAGAGUAAAAAUAAAAAGGUGAUAUUUUGGCUAGGACAAAACCAUAUAUCCGAAAACUAGAGAGCAUU
rnacentral:lncRNA from 1 species